CUCGGAAACUAAAUCCCAGUUAUCAUAAACACUAGUGCCGAGCUUUUGCUUCGGCUAAAUACAGUUUCUUAUCUGCUUUGGUCUGUGCUUAGAAAUCCAGUUAUCCCGAAUAACCUGGUACCGAGACGAUCAGCUCGGAACGAAGUAUACUGAACCCAGCUUUGACUCGGGCAAUUUGUACCCGAGCCAACCACCUCAGUUCGUCUGUAGCUUUCCUAGCUCGAAGUUCGUCUAGCUAGCAGCUCGUCUGCACUUCGCCUAGCUGACAGCUCGUCUACAGCCGGUACAUACCGUUUGCCCC